CGAACGCUGGCGGCGUGCUUAACACAUGCAAGUCGAACGAUGAAACCCUUCGGGGUGGAUUAGUGGCGAACGGGUGAGUAACACGUGGGCAAUCUGCCCUUCACUCUGGGACAAGCCCUGGAAACGGGGUCUAAUACCGGAUAAUACUCCUGCCUGCAUGGGUGGGGGUUGAAAGCUCCGGCGGUGAAGGAUGAGCCCGCGGCCUAUCAGCUUGUUGGUGGGGUAAUGGCCUACCAAGGCGACGACGGGUAGCCGGCCUGAGAGGGCGACCGGCCACACUGGGACUGAGACACGGCCCAGACUCCUACGGGAGGCAGCAGUGGGGAAUAUUGCACAAUGGGCGAAAGCCUGAUGCAGCGACGCCGCGUGAGGGAUGACGGCCUUCGGGUUGUAAACCUCUUUCAGCAGGGAAGAAGCGCAAGUGACGGUACCUGCAGAAGAAGCGCCGGCUAACUACGUGCCAGCAGCCGCGGUAAUACGUAGGGCGCAAGCGUUGUCCGGAAUUAUUGGGCGUAAAGAGCUCGUAGGCGGCUUGUCACGUCGGAUGUGAAAGCCCGGGGCUUAACCCCGGGUCUGCAUUCGAUACGGGCUAGCUAGAGUGUGGUAGGGGAGAUCGGAAUUCCUGGUGUAGCGGUGAAAUGCGCAGAUAUCAGGAGGAA
rnacentral:rRNA from 1 species